rnacentral:rRNA from 1 species
AUUGAACGCUGGCGGCAGGCCUAACACAUGCAAGUCGAACGAGGCGCGGGCGGGUGAAAAAUGUCUGGAAAACUCCCUGAUGGAGGGGGUAAACUACUGGAAACGGUGCCUAAUACCGCAUACCAUCAGAUGAGCCCAGAUGGGGUGAGCUUUUUGGUGGUGUAACGGCUAACAAAGGCAACGAUCACUGGCGGGUCUGAGAGGAUGACGGGCAACACUGGAACUGAGACACGGUCCAGACUCCUACGGGAGGCAGCAGUGGGGAAUAUUGCACAAUGGGCGAAAGCCUGAUGCAGCAAUGCCGCGUGUAUGAUGAAGGCCUUCGGGUGUUAAAGCUCUGUCAGCGGGGAGGCGUUACCUGCAGAGAAAGCAACGGCUAACUACGUGCCAGCAGCCGCGGUAAUAC